rnacentral:misc_RNA from 1 species
GCAAACUUGGUCAUUUAGAGGAAGUAAAAGUCGUAACAAGGUCUCCGUUGGUGAACCAGCGGAGGGAUCAUUACCGAGUUCUAAACUCCCAAACCCCUGUGAACAUACCUAUCGUUGCCUCGGCGUAUGCGCCCCGGGCCCCCCGGGCACCGGAACCCGGCGCCGCCAAAGGACCUAAACUCUUGUAUUAGUACGUAUUCUGAGUGACACAAGCAAAUAAAUCAAAACUUUCAACAACGGAUCUCUUGGCUCUGGCAUCGAUGAAGAACGCAGC